rnacentral:rRNA from 1 species
UACGUAGGUGGCAAGCGAUACUCGGAAUCACUAGGCGUAAAGCGCAGGUAGGAGGUUUGGUAAGUCUGUUGUGAAAGCUCCCGGCUCAACUGGGAGAGGUCAACGGAAACUACUAGGCUAGAGUGCGGUAGGAGGUAGCUCGGAAUUCCCGGUGUAGCGGUAGAAAUGGCGUAGAUAGUCGGGAGGAAUACCUAUGGCGAAAGCAGGCUACUGGACCGUCACUGACUCUGAUCUGCGAAAGCUAGGGGAGCAAACAGG